rnacentral:rRNA from 1 species
UGCCAGCAGCCGCGGUAAUACAUAGGGGGCAAGCGUUAUCCGGAAUUACUGGGCAUAAAGCGCACGUAGGCGGCUAAGUAAGUGUGAGGUGAAAUCCCACGGCUCACCCGUGGAACUGCUUUGCAUACUGCUUGGCCCGAGGAAGGUAGGGGAGAGCAGAACUCUUGGAGGAGUGGUGAAAUGCGUAGAUAUCAAGAGGAAUACCAGUGGCGAAGGCGGCUCUCUGGUCCUUUUCUGACGCUGAGGUGCGAAAGCUAGGGUAGCGAACGGGAUUAGAUA